rnacentral:tRNA from 1 species
GGAGGGUAUAGCUCAGUGGUAAGAGUGUGUGCUUAGGAUGCACAAGGUCCUGGGUUCAGUCCCUGGUACCUCCA